ACGUCGACAUGGCUCACCACGCACAGUGGCUGGGGAUGGGAUGUGGAGUCAGGAUGUCGUAGACCUGAGUCCAACUCGACCAGCCCUGGGCCUUCCCGGGCAGCGGCUCGCCACUCCACGCCUUGAUUCUGCAUCUGAGAAAUGGGGAUGAUAAGAACCACACCGACUGCGUUGGUCCCGUGCGAGGAUUCAACGCGGUGAGACCAGGGAAGCUCCCAACCCGCCGGAGAAGGGGGCAGCAGCCCAAUGUGUCCCGCUCCGCGAGAAAACUAAGGACGAGGGAGGUCAAAAGGGGAACGUUGACAAGCCAACUGCAAGGGACAGUUGGAAACGGAACAACAACUGCCUGGGCCCUUGGAAAGAAAGCUGAGAAAGACCUUGAGUGUGGACACCGUGGUUGAGAACACUGACUUCUCAGACACCCUAAGAUGCCUACCACUGGAAUUGUUGACAUCAGACAACUGAGCACAAAGAAUAACUGCUACUGUUAACUGACUCAUAGAAGAUUCCAGCACCUUGAAGGGAACCAAGGCACCUCUGCCUUUCUUAAAAUGCACUCACCAAAUUUCCAUAAUCUCCAAUGACAAUAACAAUUGUGUAAUACCCAAUAAAGGCCCUAUUACCCUUUAAACAAAGGAAAUGAUAAAACAUGACAAGUUUAUCAUCAUUA